rnacentral:rRNA from 1 species
CGGAACGGGUGAGUAAUGCGUGACCAACCUGCCCCAUGCUCCAGAAUAGCUCUUGGAAACGGGUGGUAAUGCUGGAUGCUCCAACUUGACGCAUGUCUUGUUGGGAAAGUGUUUAGUGGCAUGGGAUGGGGUCGCGUCCUAUCAGCUUGUAGGCGGGGUAAUGGCCCACCUAGGCUUCGACGGGUAGCCGGCCUGAGAGGGCGGACGGCCACAUUGGGACUGAGAUACGGCCCAGACUCCUACGGAGGCAGCAGGG